rnacentral:rRNA from 1 species
AGUGAACGCUGGCGGUAGGCCUAACACAUGCAAGUCGAACGGCAGCACAGUAAGAGCUUGCUCUUACGGGUGGCGAGUGGCGGACGGGUGAGGAAUACAUCGGAAUCUACUUUUUCGUGGGGGAUAACGUAGGGAAACUUACGCUAAUACCGCAUACGACCUACGGGUGAAAGCAGGGGAUCUUCGGACCUUGCGCGAUUGGAUGAGCCGAUGUCGGAUUAGCUAGUUGGCGGGGUAAAGGCCCACCAAGGCGACGAUCCGUAGCUGGUCUGAGAGGAUGAUCAGCCACACUGGAACUGAGACACGGUCCAGACUCCUACGGGAGGCAGCAGUGGGGAAUAUUGGACAAUGGGCGCAAGCCUGAUCCAGCCAUACCGCGUGGGUGAAGAAGGCCUUCGGGUUGUAAAGCCCUCUUGUUGGGAAAGAAAAGCAGCAGGUUAAUACCCCGCUGUUCUGACGGUACCCAAAGAAUAAGCACCGGCUAACUUCGUG